CCUACGGGAGGCAGCAGUGGGGAAUCUUGCGCAAUGGGCGAAAGCCUGACGCAGCAACGCCGCGUGCGGGAUGAAGGCCUUCGGGCUGUAAACCGCUUUCAGCAGGAACGAAAAUGACGGUACCUGCAGAAGAAGGAGCGGCCAACUACGUGCCAGCAGCCGCGGUGACACGUAGGCUCCAAGCGUUGUCCGGAUUUAUUGGGCGUAAAGAGCUCGUAGGCGGUCUAGUAAGUCGGGUGUGAAAACUCUGGGCUCAACCCAGAGACGCCAUCCGAUACUGCUAUGACUUGAGUUCAGGAGGGGAGCGGGGAAUUCCUAGUGUAGCGGUGAAAUGCGCAGAUAUUAGGAGGAACACCGGUGGCGAAGGCGCCGCUCUGGACUGAAACUGACGCUGAGGAGCGAAAGCAUGGGUAGCAAACAGGAUUAGAUACCCUGGUAGUCCAUGCCGUAAACGGUGGGCACUAGGUGUGGGUUUCAACUAACGAAAUCCGCGCCGUCGCUAACGCAUUAAGUGCCCCGCCUGGGGAGUCGGUCGCAAGACUAAAACUCAAAUGAAUUGACGG
rnacentral:rRNA from 1 species